GCCAAAGCUUAAAACUCAAGGGACUUGGCGGUGCUUCAUAUCCCUCUAGAGGAGCCUGUUCUAUAAUCGAUAAACCCCGAUAAACCUCACCAACCCUUGCCAACUCAGCCUAUAUACCGCCAUCCUCAGCAAACCUUUAAAAAGAAUUGUAGUAAGCUCAAUCACAAUUACGCAAAAACGUUAGGUCAAGGUGUAGCCUAUGGGUUGGAAAGAAAUGGGCUACAUUUCCUAUUACUAGG
rnacentral:rRNA from 1 species